rnacentral:lncRNA from 1 species
GCAAAGGAAAAGAGGAAAUACGAUAUCAGCUUAGACUAAACUACUUAUAUACACUAUCUGGAUUUUUAUAUUGCAUUCCAAGUGGUAAUAAAAAAUGGAUCAAUUGAAAGAAUGUUCUACUUCGUAGGAGCAACACCUAGUUGAGGCAUCCUCUGUUAAUAAGCAUUAAAGCCAAGAUAAACAAAUAUCAAAUGAUGUGAUUCUAAGUUUCUUCAGAUAAUUUGUUUCAAAUAUAGCUAAAUAUUUUCAGACUAUGGAUUUAUUUUUUUCAUUUAUACAGAUCAAAAAUUAAGCUACAAUUGGAAAAAAGCAAGGUACUAUUCCCCAUAGUAAGUGAACAAGAAAGACUAUAGGAGCAUGCUCCCCACUGUAACAGGACUUUUUUUUUAUUUUUCACAAGCUGCUUUCUUCUUUAGAAGAUUCCUCUUCAAUCCUCAAGGAGACCUUCUC